UGGUAUCGUACUUACAUCACAUCAUCGAUAAUAAAUUAAUUAUAUUUUUAAAAAAUAUAUAAUAAUUUUUUUUAUUAAUUAUGAUGAGAUAGAUGAAUUUAAAAUUAAAAAAAAAAUUAUUAAUUAAAAUAUUACAUCAGUAGUAAUAUAACUGGGGGACUUUUUUAUGAAAUAACCCUCUAAAAUUUUAAAAUUUGCGAAAUAACCCACUCAAAAUUUUAUUUGUAAAACUAACCCUCUUUUCGCCACGUCGGCGCCACGUUAGAAUUUUUUUAAAGGCGGUGAAUCGUUCACCGCGUUUUUCCAUUUCUUUUAAAGACGGUGAAUCGUUUACCGUCUUCUCCUAUUUCUUUUAAAGACGGUGAAUCAUUCACCGCUUUCUCCCAUAACUUAUUUACUGUUAUUUUCUAUAUUCCAUAUAUAAUCCUAACAAUCACAUAAAAAUUCUAACAAAUUAUAUAUAAUCUUAACAACUUUUAAAUCCUAAUAAUUUAUCUAUAUAAUUUCAUAUAAUCUUAACUGCUUUUAUAUGAAAUUAUAUGGAUAAAUUAUUAGGAUUUAAAAGUUGUUAAGAUUAUAUGAGAUAUAGAAAGAAACAGUAAAUAAGUGAAAGACGGUGAAUGAUUUACCGUUUUUAAAAGAAAUGGAAAAAAGCGGUGAAUGAUUCACCGCCUUUAAAAAAAAUAAGAGAAAAUGGCGAACGAUUCACCGUCUUUAUAAGAAAAUCCUGACGUGGCGCCUAUGUGGCGAAAGGAGGGUUAGUUUUACAAAUAAAAUUUUCACAUGAUUAUUUUGUCAAUUAUAAUUUUUUAGAGAGUUAUUUUAUAAAAAAGUCCU
rnacentral:lncRNA from 1 species